GCCGCGGGAAGGGCGGAGGGCUGCGGGCGGGAGCCCACCCCGCGCGCGGGCCGUCGGAGGGGAGACGCCCCCCCCCCUCACCCCUGCGGAGGGGCGCGUGGGGCGGCUCUGGGCGGGAGCCCCUGAACUCCGCCGCGGCCGCCCCACCCCGGACCCCAGACCCGGCUGGGGCCGUGCGGCUGGCGGUGCGCCGCCCCACCCGCGGCCCGGGGCAGCCCCCGCCUUUCCGGGUGCAAACUCCACCUGUCUGCGCCCCCUCCUAACCGCGUCCUGGGAUGGCUGGAGUGGGCGGUUUAAAAUAAAGACUUCAAUUUUUUUUUUUUUUUUUUAAAGAAACCCAGAAGACAAGCUAAAGAAAUGUGACACGGCUCUUUUUAUUAAGUAGGCAAAAAUAAAUUCUGGAACAUUCGAAAGUAGGAACCAAAAAUGAGCACUAACCUUUUAAUCAAAGUCUCUUCACACCCACCCACCUGACUUAAAUGUGAUUCCCAGUCCUGUCCUUAAAAAGCGAAUACUCAAGUAUGAUAGGAGGGUGGAGCCCGGGAGAUCACCGAUUUACCCAGAGGAAACCCGUCCGGAGGAGGGAGUGACCUGCCUGGGGUCAUUGUUCAUUGAUUGAUUGAUUGCGCACCCACCGGGCCGCCAGGCGCCGAGCUCUUCUGUUCAGAACUUGCAAGGCAACCAGCUCACAGGCUCUUGGCAGAGGCGGAAGCAGAACCUGGGAAGGGGCCAGCUGGGCAGUGCGCCGGCUGCUGGAGGGAUGGCUAUGGAGAACUCUCAUUUACAUACUACCUAUAAAGUGGUUUUCUGCAAACAUUUCUUUCACUCUUCGGAAGAAUCCUGGAUGUUAUCAUCCCCAUACCACAGGGCUCAGCUACAAUGUCCUCUGUUCAGAGACACCUUCCCCGAUCCCCAGCGUAGAGUGAUCUGCUUUCCCGGUCGUGAUGCAACCACCCUGUUUUUGUUUUUUCUUCAUAGUUCUUAUUAGUGUAUGAAAUCAUCUCGAUUGUAUGUUUGUUUAGUCGUUAAACUCAGCCUUCCCCCCACCCCCAACCCCAAGACCUGCAUCCCAGGAGAGACGUCAUCUUGUCCGCAGCGUUCACCGACCCAUCGUGAGACCUGCCGGUUUGUGCGCAAAUGACCGAAUGGCCAUCUGUACCGUAGUCCAAGAGGACAUACGGAGAGAAAACAACCCUGCUCACUCAGGUGAGCAAUUGGGAACAGCGUCUCCAACAGGAACCCUGCACUCUCUACUAUGCCACCCUGCCUGAGACCUUUCUUAAGGCUUCUGAGAAAUGAUCAGCUGAGUUCAAACCAGAAUAACAGUAGUUCCUUGGCUCUUGAGGGCUGUGGUCCGCAGGGAAGGAAAAGAGGCCGGAGGACUCUGGUGUUAAGGCACAAUUGGUAUGGAUGUGCACGAGUCCCACCUCAGGAUUUUCUCAGCAUAAGUCGGCAGUCAUUCAUUUCGCGUCUCCAGCCCCAGGACCCCGGGCUGCCGCUCUUUGACCCCUCCAUGAGGGGGUGGCAGUGAGAGCGGGAACAGGACCAUUCCUCGUGCCCUCUGACCUGGAUGUCCUGGAUGCCAGCAAGGAUUCAGGCCCAUGCCAGCUGGGGCAGUGGUUUUGUGACCACACCCCUGAGUCCGGAAUGCUUUGUGAUGCCGCACAGCACGUGCGUGCCCACUGGCAGAAAGCAGGAGCUGGGCCUCCUUGGCUCUCUGACCUGGGCCUACAGCCCCUCCUGACACCUCUCCUCUCAGCGGCCCUGCAUCCCCUUCAGGAGUGGUAAAUGCUACUCCAGCAUCUGAAGAGUUGAGGUCAAGCCUCUGACACAGCCUCACACUAUGACCUUGAGGAGCCCGCUGACCUCCAUAGGGCUUCCAUUUCCCCGUAUCCGAAACGAUGGGAGAGACAAUGGCCUUGUCCUGCUCAUCUGUCAGUUAUAUUAAGGGCUGAACAAAGUCAGACAUAUGAUGUCCUCUGUAGACUCUAUACACACAUAAAUGUCAAGUCUCGUUA